GGAAGGCAUACGCAUCCGGUGGUGCGCCCGGGCUUCAAACCCGGUAGGGGGUGUUAGACACUCCCUGGUAGGUUCGACUCCUGCUGCUUUCCGCCA
rnacentral:tRNA from 2 species